CUGGUGGGCAGGUGAGGAGAUCUACUCAUCUUGCAGGCAUCCAAGACAAACCUUGCAUGUAAGUUCCCUUGCCUGUUAAACCUGCCACCUACCUAUCUGGAGUGGUCUGCCUCUUUUAUGGUCUCUCCUUGCCUUUUGUGUAUGGGGGCCAUUUCUAAUUUCACUGAGGGAAUUCCUGAGGUUGUGAACCAACAGCCAUUUGGAAAGAAGUCACAAAAGUGAGGAUUGUAAUGACUACCUAUUAGAAGCAGGAGUUUUUCCAGGAGGGAGAUUUUUGACUUAGACCACCCCAUGGGAGCCAGCAACAAUCAGCUGUAACUCUGUCCCCUGGAUGCAACCUCACAGCUGGUGGAGGUGCACUGACAAUGCGCUCCCCCCAGUAAGCAGGAAACCAGAGACAGCAUCCUCCCUAGACCAAAGUCAAGCUCUCAGCACCAAAAAAAAAAACAUCUAAACAAGACAGAAGAAGAACUUCAUCCAGUUUUGUUGGUGACUCACAACAAAGUUUGUCUGAAUAGCUACUGGUCUGGUAAGAACCACAAACUCAUCCAGGCUGACUCAGAAAACAGGGUACUAGGAUCUAUGUCUGUUUUACUUUUUGAUUCUCUUUUUAUGACAAGAUAAAUACAACAGCACAACACAAUUGGAGGCACAAAAGAAAACAUAAAGGAUGAAAAUUAAUGACCUGAUUCUACAAAGGAUGCCAGACAAAUGGGAACCAAUAUGUAACCUGGGUACCAAACUGAGCAUAAGUAGCUGAGACACUCAAUAUAGAGUGGAGUUUAGACCUGGUACUGACUUCCCAUGUCAUCAUGAACUCAAAAUCCACAAGUGGCAAGUGACAAGGGGCCUCUCUGGUUCUGCACCUCGUUAACAUGUGGUAUCAGAAGCAAGGGCAGGACAGACUAUGUCUUGGUGGAGUCUCCAGGAAAACUGUGGGAAUAAAUAAAGACCACCUAAUGACAACAGAAGCUGUUUACACAAUACUUGUGAUAGCAAGAGAGUCACCCACCUUCAUUUGUGUUGGGCAGAGAUUCAAAGGUCUCUGGAGAGCAGGAAGAUUUCUAGUGAAAAAACAUGGGAAGCUUCCAGGUGUAUCAAUGCAUUAAUUCAUCCUCAGAGCUGUUUUUCUGCCAUGGUGAAGUAGAAAGAUCCCUAAACUGAAGGCAGUUGUCUGGUGAGCUAUAGCUCUGACAUUUAAGAGUAUGAUGUCAUUAGGAGUACAUUUUUGGCCCAUUGAGGAAGUUCUGGGUCAAGAGCCUAUCAUGUGGGCAAUGGAACAUUUUUCUUCAUCUCCAAUUUUAUUUGAAGGUUUGAUUCCUAGAAUGUUUACCAACAAGCUUCCUGUGCCCACAUCUCCAUCUCACAAUCCAUUUCCCAGGGAAUCUGACAGGAACAAUGACCAAAACAUUUUGCAUAGAGGGACCAUAUUACUCUACUUUUCUCAUUUCCCCUCUUCAGAAUCAAAUGUGUCUUAAGUUAAUUUCCCUAAUGGAAGAACAACAAGAAACAUUUCGUGAUAGAGACUUUGAAGUUACAUCACAUCAAGGUCUGCCUUUAGAAAACAUGGAUUGUUAAGAGAUUUUGUAGCA